CUCCUCCCACCAUUAACACACACACACACUUUAAUUCAGAAUAUUUAUUUGUCUUGCUUUUUUUUUUUAGGGGGGAAGUAGUGAUGGUAGCUGAACUGGUAGAAGUGGUGAACAGCAUUUUGGUAGGCAAAAUUCCAGUGGACUGCAGUGAAAUUAAGCUGGAUCAACUUACUGCCAAACUGUGGGUCCUUUCACCUGUAAAAUUACAGCUCGCCCAAGCUGCCCUUCGUCUUUCACGUCAAUGCUCGGCCCUUUUCUGUGCCUUAGUCAUUUCUAUUGACUGAGAACAGCAGGUGUUCAUCUUCUACUGAGACUGUCACCCCACAAACUCUGAAAUACACCUUAACUUGACUUCUGGUUUCAUCUUGGACUGAGUUAUUUUCUUUUUAGUGCUGGCUCUAGAGAAAUAUGCUGUUUAUAUAAGGCUCCCACGGUUUAGUUGUUGCUGAGCUGUGUGAGGAAUACCACAGAGUCACCUUUGGAUGAUUCAAAGGUUAAAUUACUCUGGCUGUUAAGUUGCUUUCUAAAUACUCCCAAAAACAUAUGCUUUCCCAUUCCGUCCUUUCUUGCUGCUGCAGAUGUGGUAUGAAAAUGAAAUGCCACCCGUCUUCUGGAUUUCAGGAUUCUUCCUCACGCAAGCGUUCUUAACUGGUGCCCAACAGAGCUAUGCCAGAAAGUACACUAUUCCAAUAGACCUGUAAGCAUUUGACUAUGAAGUGCUGGAAGGGGUCUACAUCCAGGGACUGUUCUUGGAUGGAGCACGCUGGAACCAAGAAACUAAAAAGCUAGGAGAAUCUCAUCCGAAAAUCCUCUACGAUACGGUGCCUGUGAUAUGGUUAAAGCCCUGUAAGAAAGCAGACAUUCCACAACGACCCAGUUACCUGGCUCCAGUGUGCAACACCAGCGAGAGAAGAGGAAUCCUGUCAACCACCGGCCAUUCCACCAGCUUUGUCAUUGCGAUGACCCUUCCUUCCUAUAAACAGCAAGAACACUGGAUCAAACGGGGGGUGGCGUUAUUAUGUCAGCUUAAUUUAUGAACUUACCGCCAUUAUUGAGGGUUCCGUUCCUAGAUGCCCCAUGAGGAACACAUAUCAGUUCUGUAUGUCCAUAAUAUCAAUAUGUAUGAAAGUAUUCAUGAAAAAGUGAAAAACAUUUUGCACGUUGCAAUUUGUGACGUAUAAAAUACAAGAUUGUGCAAUAAAACCUCAUGAAAGCCAA